GCCAGUAUGGUGGCUAUGACCCUCGGCUUGUAACCGAGUGGGUUCGGGCUCGAAUCCCGAGUAAGGCA
rnacentral:tRNA from 1 species